GGGUUGUGAGGUUAAGCGACUAAGCGUACACGGUGGAUGCCCUGGCAGUCAGAGGCGAUGAAGGACGUGCUAAUCUGCGAUAAGCGUCGGUAAGGUGAUAUGAACCGUUAUAACCGGCGAUUUCCGAAUGGGGAAACCCAGUGUGUUUCGACACACUAUCAUUAACUGAAUCCAUAGGUUAAUGAGGCGAACCGGGGGAACUGAAACAUCUAAGUACCCCGAGGAAAAGAAAUCAACCGAGAUUCCCCCAGUAGCGGCGAGCGAACGGGGAGCAGCCCAGAGCCUGAAUCAGUAUGUGUGUUAGUGGAAGCGUCUGGAAAGGCGCGCGAUACAGGGUGACAGCCCCGUACACAAAAAUGCACAUGCUGUGAGCUCGAUGAGUAGGGCGGGACACGUGGUAUCCUGUCUGAAUAUGGGGGGACCAUCCUCCAAGGCUAAAUACUCCUGACUGACCGAUAGUGAACCAGUACCGUGAGGGAAAGGCGAAAAGAACCCCGGCGAGGGGAGUGAAAAAGAACCUGAAACCGUGUACGUACAAGCAGUGGGAGCACGCUUAGGCGUGUGACUGCGUACCUUUUGUAUAAUGGGUCAGCGACUUAUAUUCUGUAGCAAGGUUAACCGAAUAGGGGAGCCGAAGGGAAACCGAGUCUUAACUGGGCGUUAAGUUGCAGGGUAUAGACCCGAAACCCGGUGAUCUAGCCAUGGGCAGGUUGAAGGUUGGGUAACACUAACUGGAGGACCGAACCGACUAAUGUUGAAAAAUUAGCGGAUGACUUGUGGCUGGGGGUGAAAGGCCAAUCAAACCGGGAGAUAGCUGGUUCUCCCCGAAAGCUAUUUAGGUAGCGCCUCGUGAAUUCAUCUCCGGGGGUAGAGCACUGUUUCGGCAAGGGGGUCAUCCCGACUUACCAACCCGAUGCAAACUGCGAAUACCGGAGAAUGUUAUCACGGGAGACACACGGCGGGUGCUAACGUCCGUCGUGAAGAGGGAAACAACCCAGACCGCCAGCUAAGGUCCCAAAGUCAUGGUUAAGUGGGAAACGAUGUGGGAAGGCCCAGACAGCCAGGAUGUUGGCUUAGAAGCAGCCAUCAUUUAAAGAAAGCGUAAUAGCUCACUGGUCGAGUCGGCCUGCGCGGAA
rnacentral:rRNA from 1 species